rnacentral:rRNA from 1 species
UACGUAGGGGGCAAGCGUUGUCCGGAAUCAUUGGGCGUAAAGAGCGCGUAGGCGGCCCUGUAAGUCCGCUGUGAAAGUCAAGGGCUCAACCCUUGGAUGCCGGUGGAUACUGCAGGGCUAGAGUCCGGAAGAGGCGAGUGGAAUUCCUGGUGUAGCGGUGAAAUGCGCAGAUAUCAGGAGGAACACCGAUGGCGAAAGGCAGCUCGCUGGGACGGUACUGACGCUGAGGCGCGAAAGCCCAGGGGAGCAAAACGGG